GCUCCCUUCGUCUAGCGGUCAGGACGCUGGCUUUUCAGGCCAAGAACAUCGGUUCGAGUCCGAUAGGGAGCA
rnacentral:tRNA from 2 species